rnacentral:rRNA from 1 species
AUGAGCCCGCAAGUUGGUCUUCUUCAAAUCCACGCCCGGCUUCCUAGCCCUAUUCCCCAACAUCGUAAAGCUACAUCUUCAAGGAUUCACCACCAUGAAAACUGUGACGUCGGAGGGAACUUACAGGCGUUGACAAACAUCCUCAGGAACACAUCAAACUUGGAGAAGCUUGCGUUGCACCUAUGCAUGUUUGUAGCUUCCCCGAUCGUGAAAAGGAAGAAGGAGAUGGCAUCUUCCAAAAGCCAUGGCGCAACGCCAGUCGCACCCGUUGGUUUUUGGUCCAAGAAGUUGGCAGUGAUAGAAAUCAAGCGCCGACAACAAGAGGAUGAACAUAUGGAUAGAGUUUUAUCAGAAAUCUCUAAAGGGGUGCUGCCUGCGUAA